GAGAAGUGUUUUAAUGACUCCUUUAACAUGUUGAAUCCAAGAGGGAAGGAAGCCACAAUGGAGACCAACUUCAACCACAACGAUGAAGGCUUGUUUAUGACUGAUCCCAGACCACCAGAAUACGUCCAGGCUUUACAGAGGAAGACUGUGAAAGAACUGCUGCUGCAGAGCCGCCAGGAAUGGAACGACGGGAACUCUGUGCACGCGUUUGAACGUGCAAAGUUCGAAGCGUGUGGCAAAGUGCCAGAGG